rnacentral:rRNA from 1 species
UGGGGAAUUUUGGACAAUGGGCGAAAGCCUGAUCCAGCAAUGCCGCGUGUGUGAAGAAGGCCUUCGGGUUGUAAAGCACUUUUGUCCGGAAAGAAAUCCUUGGCUCUAAUACAGUCGGGGGAUGACGGUACCGGAAGAAUAAGCACCGGCUAACUACGUGCCAGCAGCCGCGGUAAUACGUAGGGUGCAAGCGUUAAUCGGAAUUACUGGGCGUAAAGCGUGCGCAGGCGGUUUGCUAAGACCGAUGUGAAAUCCCCGGGCUCAACCUGGGAACUGCAUUGGUGACUGGCAGGCUAGAGUAUGGCAGAGGGGGGUAGAAUUCCACGUGUAGCAGUGAAAUGCGUAGAGAUGUGGAGGAAUACCGAUGGCGAAGGCAGCCCCCUGGGCCAAUACUGACGCUCAUGCACGAAAGCGUGGGGAGCAAACAGGAUUAGAUACCCUGGUAGUCCACGCCCUAAACGAUGUCAACUAGUUGUUGGGGAUUCAUCUCCUUAGUAACGUAGCUAACGCGUGAAGUUGACCGCCUGGGGAGUACGGUCGCAAGAUUAAACUCAAAGGAAUUGACGGGGUCAUAGCUGUUUCCU